AUGUACUUUCUGAUAUCACGGCGCUGAUUACGCGUUUUCUGAAAGUGAUUGUAUACGAUUCAUGGUGGCCUGGUUAUUGUUUGUGUUUUACGGAAGUUGUGGUUUUCAGCGAUAAAAAGGUGGAUUGUUUUUAAAAACAUAUAUUGGGUGUUUUUUCUUUGUGUCGUGCAGCAAUAACAUAGUCUAUACAGUUGAUAGUCAUAAAUCAAUUCAAAAAGUUAUUCAAACGUAAGUAACAAAUUAUAUUAAUAGAUUGGAUAAUUUUUAUAAAUUUGGAAUAUAACUUACACAACAAAUAUAUUUGAGAUAUUAUCAAAUAUCUUUGUACUUAUAAUUAAAUAAAUUUUAAAUUGUUGUUGACUUAUGGUAUAUUUGAUUCGUAAAUAGAUGUUAUGUUAAGUUGUGUCCUGAUUUGUAUAGUGCUGUAAGUAACUUAUUGUUGGAUAAAAAUCUUGUUUAGUGAGUCCAUAAGAUUUAUGCUUUGUCCUUAUUUUGCAUUACAUUGAUUCCUUUAUUUCUUUUAUCUUCUACCUUAGCUUAUUGUAAGAUAUUUAUAAUCAUUACUUGAAAUCAUAUAUUGAAAAAAGAUAUCUCUCUGGAGCAUUUGCUUAUUGAUUUGUAACUAAUAUCUCUGAUCUAUUUUGUUGUGUUUGUAAAUCAGAUCUUUGUAUUUACAAUUUUUAAUGAUUUUAUAUUAUAUGUAUUGUCUGUAAAAUAAUACUGGAACAUUUGUUUUAAGUUU